rnacentral:lncRNA from 1 species
UGCCACCGAGGGCUGAUGGAGGUAGAAGUCCACACAGGAGACGUUGCCUUCUAAGUAGAGUAGCAGUGCUUUUGCUGGUGUCAUGAUUGGAAGGUGAGGAGUACAAGACUUUUCAUUAGACCACCUGAUGGGGCUGAAACAAUUACUUUAAGGCAGCUUCUCCGGGUGGUGCCCGGGGACGUGAGGAGCAGCAUUGCUUGUCCCUGAGCUUCUUGCCCUGGGAAGGGCAGUGAGGUGCAUGGCUGCACUGGCUGAGCCCCAGAUCCCGCACGAGCCAUCAUCGUUGAGCACGAGCCAUCAUCGUUGAGCACGAGCCAUCAUCGUUGAGCACGAGCCAUCAUCGUUGAGCACGAGCCAUCAUCGUUGAGCACGAGCCAUCAUCGUUGAGCACGAGCCAUCAUCGUUGAGCACGAGCCAUCAUCGUUGAGCACGAGCCAUCAUCAUUGAGCACCAGCCAUCAUUGAGCAUGCCGGUGUUCUCUCUGCUGCUCUGAGUCGCUUUUGAGGCUGCCAACCAAUGGCGUAAAUCAGGUUAGAUCUGCGAGGGCUCCUGAGUUCAAGUCUUCUCCUGAUGGCUGGUGAUGAAAGCGAGCAAGGAGCUUGGUAACAGCAAGAAAUGGAGCAGACGGUGCCAGUAAUCUGACACUUGCUGCAUGUUUGGAGCAAACGAAGCAAGGGAUGGAGCUGCCCUGGACUAAUGGCUGUGUUUCAGACAGUAAAUGUGGCUGUGCAAGGGAGCGGGAGUUGCUCUCUGUGCAGAGUCAGUGCAAGACUUGUUCCCCUGGUAGGUCUCCCAUAUCGUUUUCAAAGUUUUGGCGAAGAGUAGCAAUACACCCAAUCCCACGACUUCAGGAAAAGUCAGGCCCUUUACCCCUUCUCAUCUUCUAACAAAAACAAAUAUGUAUUGGGCUCCUUUGUUUUGAUUUCUGUGAGGUUCCACCUGAAUUAAUGUUCUCUAAUGUCUCUCUGCAAAUAGGUCAGCCACAAUUUUUAAAUAAUUAUUAUUAUUAUUAAUAAAUGAAUAGUAAUUUUCUUCUGCAAUCCCUUCCUUCCCAGAGGGGGUGCUUUAAGAAAUACGCUCCAGCUUGGGGCAGACGGCUGUUGCCUCAUGCCGCGCUCCCGGCGUGGCGGAUGGGACCCGGGACCUGCGCGGCCCCGCAGGUGACAGGUGCCUCUCCUUCCUUGCCUCGUGGAUACAGGGGCCUUUUACAAGUACGAAUUGUUAUGCAGGUAGUAUGAUGCGUCUCUUUGGUCCCAGGAGU